rnacentral:tRNA from 1 species
UGCGGUUUAGAGUAAUGGUAACUCAAUGGUCUCAUAAGCCAUAGCUGCAGGUUCGACUCCUGUAGCCGCAA